rnacentral:rRNA from 13 species
CCUUGAAAUACCACCCUUGUAGUUUUGAUGUUCUAACGUUGGUCCCUGAAUCGGGAUUACGGACAGUGCCUGGUGGGUAGUUUGACUGGGGCGGUCUCCUCCCAAAGAGUAACGGAGGAGCACGAAGGUGGGCUAAACACGGUUGGACAUCGUGUGGUUAGUGCAAUGGCAUAAGCCCGCUUGACUGCGAGAAUGACAAUUCGAGCAGGUGCGAAAGCAGGUCAUAGUGAUCCGGUGGUUCUGUAUGGAAGGGCCAUCGCUCAACGGAUAAAAGGUACUCCGGGGAUAACAGGCUGAUACCGCCCAAGAGUUCAUAUCGACGGCGGUGUUUGGCACCUCGAUGUCGGCUCAUCACAUCCUGGGGCUGAAGUCGGUCCCAAGGGUAUGGCUGUUCGCCAUUUAAAGUGGUACGCGAGCUGGGUUUAGAACGUCGUGAGACAGUUCGGUCCCUAUCUGCCGUGGGCGUAGGAUACUUGAGAAGAGCUGUCCCUAGUACGAGAGGACCGGGAUGGACGCACCUCUGGUGUACCGGUUGUUCCGCCAGGAGCAUCGCCGGGUAGCUAAGUGCGGAAAGGAUAACCGCUGAAAGCAUCUAAGCGGGAAGCCGGCCCAAAGAUGAGUCAUCCCU